AUGCAGCAUGUAGUCGUCCGGGGCCGGGCUGCGUAUGAAGCUCGGGAAGUCCCUGAACCUCAUGUUCCUCAGGCCCGGCACGUCCUCCACCGGCGUGUCAAGGUACUUGGCUGUCAGCUGUUCGACGUCUUUGAUCGGCGCGAGGCCGCGGGCGAAGAGGAGGCGGUAGUGGCGGUAACCGAGGAAGCUGAUGGCGCUGGCCGUCCACAGCUGGACGUAGGGGAGGCCGAGCUCCCUGGCCGCCUCCAUGGCGAAGUCCAUGACGACGUCGGAGACGACGCAUGUCACGGGCGGGCCGCCUGCCUUGAGGUCCGCGAUGAGGCGGCGGAAGGGCCCGAGGCAGGUCUCCGUGGUGGACUUGCACAGCAACGUGAUGUCCUGCGUGACGUCGGCGUCGUCGGACGGCGGCAGGCCGUCCGGGAUGGUGGCGAAGCGGAAGCCCGGGGCGCCGGCCACCGCGGCGGGGCCGCGGGAGCGGACGAGGCGGGCGUGGUUGUACUCGGUGUUGACGAAGGUGACGUGGAAGCCGCGGGCGUGGAGCAUCUUGGCCACGUCCAGCAUCGGGAUGAUGUGCCCCUGCGCGGCCGCCGGCAGGCACACGGCGUGCGCUCUCUCGGCCGCCGGUGCAGAAGAAGCCAUUUCCCCGUGCUUUUGGAGCCGGGACGGCAAGCAGGGCAUUUGUCAAGGCGACACGACACCACACUUGCUGCUGCCGAGGAUAUGAAUUGGCUUGGCACGGAUCUAUCUCAGUAUCUUGUGUUACUUAUAGGUAAGUAG
rnacentral:rRNA from 1 species